rnacentral:rRNA from 1 species
GGAGUAAAGCAGGGGAUCGAAAGACCUUGCGCUUAAGGAGCGGCCGAUGUCUGAUUAGCUAGUUGGUGGGGUAAAGGCCUACCAAGGCGACGAUCAGUAGUUGGUCUGAGAGGACGACCAACCACACUGGGACUGAGACACGGCCCAGACUCCUACGGGAGGCAGCAGUGGGGGAUUUUGGACAAUGGGCGCAAGCCUAAUCCAGCCAUGCCGCGUGAGUGAAGAAGGCCUUCGGGUUGUAAAGCUCUUUCAGUUGGGAAGAAACGAUUGCAACUAAUAAUUGUAAUUAAUGACGGUACCGACGGAAGAAGCACCGGCUAACUACGUGCCAGCAGCCGCGGUAAUACGUAGGGUGCGAGCGUUAAUCGGAAUUACUGGGCGUAAAGGGUGCGCAGGCGGUUUUGUAAGUCAGAUGUGAAAUCCCCGGGCUUAACCUGGGAAUGGCGUUUGAAACUACAAAGCUAGA